rnacentral:tRNA from 1 species
AGACUUAGGUUACCCAAACCGAGGACCUUCAAAGUCCUAAACAGGGGCUUAGUCUCUG